GGUCUCAUUAUGUAGGUCAGGCUGGUCUUGAACUCAUGGCAUCCUCCUGCCUCAACCCCUCCAAGUGCUGGGAUGACAGGCGUGUGCCACCAAGCCUGGCUUCACGGCCCCUUUAAGCCCCUGCUUGCUGGGGCUGGGCAGGGAUGUGCCUGGGGCCAGAGAUAAGCCUUGUCCUGUACACCCAGCCUGGUCCCCACUGAUCUGCAGCCAGCUGGAGCCUCCCCAGCACUUGCUGGGAGGAGGAGUUGGGAGGAUGUCCAGCUGCCUCUGAGGACCUGGCUGGAGCCCCAACAGAGCAGCCGUUUCCUCCUCCACCUCCCUGGCUCUCAACCAGCCUUGAGGAACAAUCACCAGGACCAGCAGCCUGGUGGGAUGGUCCUCGAGAGCCUGGAGGAGGCCGAGACUUGGGGAAGCAGCAGAGUAGGCCACAGGUGGAGAUGGCCCCCACAUCUGUGGAGGAUGAACAGAUGAAGAGAGGGGUGGAACUCGGGACCUUGCGCUUGCCAGGCAGGCAGUGGAACCACUGAGCUACAUCCCGGCUGCAGGAGCCAUAAAAGGAUUGAGGCUGUGAUGCUCGCCACAGUGUGGACGGACCUUGAGGACGCCGUGCUCAGUGACAGACGCCAGACACAGAGGACACAGCGUGGGCUCCUCGGACAGGAAACGCCCAGGACAGGCAACUCCAGAGACAGGAAGUGGACAGGGUGCUGGGGCUGGGAGGGGACGGGGAACUGCUUGUGAAGACGGAUGGGGCUUUCUUUGGGGUGGUGGAAAGUUCUGAAAUCAGAGUUGAAAGUUGCACAACACUGUGCUGAAACCACUGGACCACACCCCUCAGCUCUGUGGACAUGCCACACAUCAAAUAUCGCGAUGGAGAGUGGGGACAUCCUGUGCGAGCCCCCCCCCCCCCGCCGCAACCCGUAUGUCAGCCGCACAUACCCAGCUCCAGUGGCUCAGGAUGCCUGCCGUCCGGGCUCCGUCUAGGCCCCCAGUGCUGGCUGGUGCCACCCUCUGCUGGCACUUAUGUCCCUGGCUGGAAGGAGCCUGGAAAGGCCACUUGAGCUUAAAGGACACAUAGCGGGCCAAGGCGGUGACCACCGGUGGCUUGAAGACAUCUUCACAGGUCAGGGAAGUAAAGGACAAAAAUCCUGCCACCUGGCCUUGGUCACACCAGAGGCCCACCCGAGUCACCCUGUCAGGGGGGACAGAAAGCAGCCAGUCAUGGUGGACCACAUUCCUCUGGGUGGUACGGAGCGAGCGCGGCAAGUCCAGGACCCAGACCUUCUUGUGGGGCUUCACCUUGCCUUUCGGCUGCAGGCACAGACGAGGGGGGAGAGGCAAGUCUUCCCACAGGACGCCAGGGAUCCAUCCUUGCCACCCGAUGGAAAGCCACACCUGAAGCCAGACCUCCUGGACUUCUCAGCAAGGAGAAAAGUAACUAAGGCACCAUCAUAUUAAAGGCCCAAUUCAUCGAAGCCCACUCUCCCCGAGCCAGCAGAGUUCCGGACACCUCGCUCCCUGCCUUCCAUCUCACACUCCCAGGCUCCCGCCCUGGCCCAGCCUAGGGCUUUGGAAGUGACCACCUGGGCAGUCCUAGGUGGGCUCUUUAUGCUGAGCCCCGGUUUCUUGGUCCAAAACAUGGGGUGUUAACAGCCCUGCCUCCUGGGUCCUGUAUCCUGACUGCCAGCCACGGUUAGAGCAAGAAGCAUGGAGCAUGAGGUCUCAAAGGCCCCUCAGGACCUGGAGGGAGCUGGAGGAUGGCACAUUUGCCGCUCAGCCCUGGACGGUUCUGACGGUUCUGUAAAAGCACGCCCCGCACGACAGCAACUGCUGGACAUGGAGGAGUUCUCAUUUUUGUAGCUUGUCUGCUAACACCAAAAUUCAAUCAAAUUAAAAAAGAA
ensembl:lncRNA